ACGGUGGCCGGCCGGCCGGGCCGCGGCGCCCGCGGCGCGGGUGGGACGGCAAGGGAUUCGGCAUGGUCGGCGCGCUCAGCCGCGUCACCGCCC
rnacentral:tRNA from 1 species